ACGCAAUAUAGAAAAACAAAAUUAAAGUGAAAUUAAAUGCAACUACGUCGGAUUGCAGGUGCGGUAGCCAGUUGAGCAAUAGUCGAAGCGAACACAAGAAACGGCGCAGAGCUAAAGAAGUCUAGCUUCUUCAAAGAAGUCACAGCACAGUCAUACGCUGCGGGCAAGAAUUUUCGCGCGGGCGGUGUACCCUGGAAUGGUACCUGGCGUUACUUUUGCCUACAGCUCGCCAAUUUAAAAGGGGCCUCGAAAAACUUUAGAUCUACCCACUGUGCGAGCGAGGGGAGAAGAGAGUGGUGUGGAGGCCAUCCCAACCUGUGCACUGUGUACUAUGCACCUGUAAUUGUGUGAGUGAGAGAGUGUGUGUUCAUGUGCGAAAAGAUAAUUAUAUUUGAGGGAACAUUCAUUUGUUUGCGAAACAAACGAACCUACAAAUCGGACAGGACAUUCGAAUCAUAAUCUUAAUUAACUAAUUUUGGGCAAACAUUUGAGUGUGCGUCGCGGCGCACAUAUAAAGAAUGUCAGCACACAACAGUGAAACGCAUGUGUGUUGUGUGAAUGUGUCUGUGCGCAGUAAUAACAAAGCAGUGAAUGACGAAAGUCAAGAAUGAAAGGGAAAUAUGCCUCCCCCCCAGGCACAGGCAAAGGCAAACUCACACACAGUCCACCCCCCGCAUGACGUAUAUAUGUAUUGUUGGAUGUGGGUCUGUCUGCGCGGCGCUAAUUGAAUAGCUCACACAAUUUUGGCGCACUCCCCCCCCGCGCUAGUCCGCUUAGAGCCUUACAACUUCCACCUGCCUUAUAGAUUGCGUGCGCAUGACUCCGAGGACAACAAAACCAGCCAAAAAUAUCCAUAAUAAUGGAGACCCAACUCUGCCGUCCGUAUAGUCCCCCUCUGGCGUCGAACGGAGCCAAGUGAGUGGUGCAUGAAUCACUCCCUCGCCCGCAUCAACAUCCACAUCCAUCACCAGCUUCGAAGCCUUCACGAUGUCAAGUGAUAAGAUCAAAGUUGCUGUAAGGGUGCGACCCUUCAAUCGCCGCGCCCUGAUACCUAUCGGCUCUCUCCAAAACCGCCCAUAACACCACACUACCGUUUCUAGGAUUACUCCGCCGAAACGGGAGUGCCAAGCAGGCGGGCUUUUUCAAUUAAGGGGCCCCAAAUGUAGGCCAUCGCCCACACCCUGAGAUUGAGAGUCUCUGGCUCCAUCGACUGAGAUGCCUGGGCUACUGCUUCAGAUCCUUUGAGUGAAACACCCCAAUACGUGAGCCUUGCAACGUCUCAAGCUCGUACAGACUGUUGCCCAUACUCCGGAUCACUCGGCACUUGACGUAUUUUGGGCUGAACUUUGCGUUGAUGUUGUUUUUAAAUUUGCUCAACACGAAAUUCCGCUUAUAUAUUUCCUGACCCGGCUUCAUGAGAGUUUCCUCGGACCUCAUCUCGGACUAUUUCCAUCUUGUCACUCCUCGCCAAGGGGGACAUUUGUGUAUCAUUUAGGGCGCCCAGUCUGCGUGCCAAUUUAUAAUCUCGGCCGCUAGUAAACAUGUGCUGCCCAAACAACACAAAGUAUGGCGACGUCCCGAUACCCGUGUGUAUAGCGCUCCUAGCCACACACUGGAUCUCCGUCAGCUUCUCGUCCCAGCGCGUGUGAUCCUCACUAGCGUAUGUCCUUAUUGCUGCCAGUACAGUCUGGUUCACUCGUUCGGCCGCGUUCGCCUGCGGUGCAUAGUUCCCCGACUUCAGGCACGCCAAACUGCGCGAAGACCUCGGCGUACAAGAAUCGGAUCACGGCCGAAGACGUCGCCUUAGGCAAAGCCUUCAACCAGACAUAUC